rnacentral:misc_RNA from 1 species
UAAGCCUUUAAUAUUCAUAAGCACACCAUAAAUCAUCCCAAAAUAAUAUCUUGCCAACCCCCUUUUGGAGAUAAUCUACCAAGCAGAAUCAUUGCGGCCACUUAUAAUAGCUCUUUUAAGCUGAGCACCAUCAGAGUGUCUCACCAUGGGAGCAUGGGAAUCUUGUGUCCUUUCCAUUAAUCAUAUAUUUGAAUCUUAUCAAUAUUCUGCUCAUCUACAAUACUUUUAACCACUUAUCCAAAAAUGCAUAAUUGGAUAUUUGCUCACCCCAGAAG